CCUACGGGAGGCAGCAGUGAGGAAUAUUGGUCAAUGGACGCAAGUCUGAACCAGCCAUGCCGCGUGCAGGAAGACGGCUCUAUGAGUUGUAAACUGCUUUUGUAUGAGGGUAAACUGAGAUACGCGUAUCUGUCUGAAAGUAUCUUACGAAUAAGGAUCGGCUAACUCCGUGCCAGCAGCCGCGGUAAUACGGAGGAUUCAAGCGUUAUCCGGAUUUAUUGGGUUUAAAGGGAGCGUAGGCGGGUGGUUAAGUCAGUGGUGAAAGCUCGCGGCUCAACUUCAGAAUUGCCUCUGAUACUGGUCGGCUAGAGAAUAGUUGCGGUAGGCGGAAUGUGUGGUGUAGCGGUGAAAUGCUUAGAGAUCAUACAGAACACCGAUUGCGAAGGCAGCUUACCAAGCUACAUCUGACGUUGAGGCACGAAAGCGUGGGGAGCAAACAGGAUUAGAUACCCCGGUAGUC
rnacentral:rRNA from 1 species